GUAAACAAUGACUGGCGCACGGGAGAAGAAGUCUUAGCCUGGAUAUCCAUUAUCCAGAUAUCUGUAGCUGGCUACAAUGGAAGCCCCGAAACAUUGGCCCUCGCCCCAGAGGAUAAAUCGCACAGAGGAUAGCCAAUGGGUUCCAAGAUUGGUUUUGUUGUACCCGAACCAAUCAGUAGAGAGUGAUGUAGUCGUCCCGCCCCCAACUUACAAUAGCCUGGACAACCGUGUCAAAGUCAACCAUGCUUGUCAGACCAAAAUCACUAAACAAAAGAGAUGUGGGUGGUGAUUCGGAGGUCUGUAACCAGGCUAGCACAUAGUUUAUCAAACUGAACACAGUUGCUCAAAAGUUCAAUAUGGUUUUUAUAUCAUUUUGACCAGAUGAUAGAAGACUAACAAGUUGGCAGACUCAUUUUCUGUGUUGUCAUUAGAAUUCUAUCGAUUCUAUCGAAUUUGAUUUAGGGAACUCUCUACUUGGUGCAUCAAUUUAAGUAUGUAAAAUUGGCAUCAUAACACCUCUACUUCAAUCUGACAUUUAAAUGGUAAAUUUACUAAACUCUUAAUUUGCUGACUUUGGGUUUGGUAUUGGAGGUUUGCUGCAGUACCUAAGAUACCUGCCACUACCCCAUAAAUGUUAUUUUGCAAUUACAUUGGGCUUUUUUCUGUAAUUCACCAUUAUACCAUGUGGCAUCAGCACCAUGAAUAUUUUAUUCACUUCAUUAGUCAGGAAGUUCUUUCACUUCCUUAAAGAUGGGGUAGCCCAGUCUGGAGAAAUCCAAUACCAUGACAUAUACCAUGAUAUAGAGUGAACAAUGACAAUGUAACUAACGUUAACUAGGUUCUGGGUUAGCUUAGCUAGGUUGUGGGUUAACAGCCAGAGAGGACGAGAUGGUUUCCCAGAGCCAGCAAACUAGCUCCAGACGGUGAUACUCAUACUAUAGCUAACAUCACAUCAACAGCAUAUCUUGGCAAACUAGAAAGUAAGCUGAAUGUCCAUGGGCAAGUCAUUUAACUUUAUCUGACACACAAUUCAUGGCUGGAAUGUCUGGAAUUGUGGCUCAGUCCGAGCCACUUUGUUUAUUUCCCAUUUACAGAGCUGCUGUGUUUAUGCCUUUGUCCGGAACAGAAGCAGGUGUGGUUUACAGUGUGCGUUGUGAGGGAUGAGUUGUGUGCAGGAUUAGUUUUCAGGGCAACGGGAAGGACUAAGAGGAGAGGAGGAUUGUCUGAUUGUCUGUUAACUUGUGCUGUAGUGGAUACAGGCAGAGAUAUUAAGGAAGGACUGCUUCAUUAACUCUCAGGGUCCAUGGCCAGGGUCUGUCUGUGGCUGUCUGUGUCGCUCACCUUGGAAGACUGCUGCUCUUGCUCUUUUUCUCUUUCUCUGGCUCUCAGAUUAUGUCUGGUUCUUUCUGCUCUCUCUUUGCCUGCUAAGGUUGUAUUAAUACCAGGAGAAGCCAUGGUAGAUGCAUUGGAAUGAUUUCACUUACAUAAAGACAGAUGGGCUAAUUAUCUACCACCAUGAAGGACUGUAGAAGAAAUAACCUUAAAAUGUGGUUUCAAAUGAUAAAAUAAAGUUUAGAUACAUCUGUGUAUCACAUAAUAAAGGCAGGUUGAAUGGCCCAGUUAGACUCCUCUAAUGUGCUUUGAAAUCCACUCGUGAGACUAAACCAUAAAAAUUAAGUGUAUUUGUUCCCAUAUUCUACUAAGUAACAGUGUCUUGGUGUUAAUAUUGUAUUAACAGAGCUAAGUUCAGGUUUUCAUCUCACAGAAUAUGAUGUUUCCUGUGGUUGCAUGAUUCUAUUUUCUAUCAUUUCCUGUGUCAUGUGCCUGGUGAUAAACUUUUCUUUUUUCAGCAGGUUAUGCUAUAUUUCAGAUGGAACAAAGGGAAAAACUCACUAUUAGUUGCUGCCUCAAAAACAUUGAUUUACGGUUACAACCCAUUCUCAUUCCCAGGUCGUACAAUACUGAUAUUUUGUCAAACCUGCCGGCGUCUCAAUAGACACGCGAAAGAACCCUUUGAGCUUUGUGAUUCCCAUUGGAGAGCCGAGGCAUGACACACAUUUUCUGCCCAAAUAUGGAAUUCAGCGAGAGAACCAAAAGGCCGAAGCAGCUGUGAGACUCUUUUUAAGUGUGGAGCCUCUGUGAAUAGAUAAACCCACCCACCCUGAUGGUCACCAUCACCAAAGUGGAUUACCUACAAUGUAGUUGUAUAAUGCAGUCCAUAAGUAUUCUGACAGUCACACUCUUUUGUCUCUUUUAGCUCUGUAGUCCAGUAUACUGAUCUUGAAAUUAAACAAUGACUGAGAUUAAAGUG